UCACACCACUGUGUCUGUUCAUGCUUCUCCUCUGACCUGGGGAACUUCCUUCUACUUCUCUUGCAGUACAUCUGGAAAGAGCUCCAUCCUUCUAGAGCCUGCUCCGGUAAUGUUUUUUAUCGCCGUGCCACCUCCAGCCUUUACUGCUGCAGACAGCUGGAAGCUACUCACUUAUUUCUGAGUGACUCCAAAUGCAGCUGAGUUGACAGUGAGACUGAGUUGUCACGUGUGCCUACUUCUUCCAGACUUUUUAUUCAUCUUUGCCUUCUCCAAGACAAAGCCAGGACCUAAGGUAGAAAUAUGUGCUCU
rnacentral:lncRNA from 1 species